GACGAACGCUGGCGGCGUGCUUAACACAUGCAAGUCGAGCGAGGCCCCUCCUUCGGGAGGGUGUCCUAGCGGCGAACGGGUGAGUAACACGUGGGCAACCUGCCCUCAGCUCUGGGAUAACUCCGGGAAACCGGGGCUAAUACCGGAUACGACCUCCACGGGCAUCUGCGGAGGUGGAAAGUUUUUCGGCUGAGGAUGGGCCCGCGGCCUAUCAGCUAGUUGGUGGGGUAGUGGCCCACCAAGGCGACGACGGGUAGCCGGCCUGAGAGGGCGACCGGCCACACGGGGACUGAGACACGGCCCAGACUCCUACGGGAGGCAGCAGUGGGGAAGAUUGCGCAAUGGGCGAAAGCCUGACGCAGCGACGCCGCGUGAGGGACGAAGGCCUUCGGGUGGUAAACAUCUUUCAGCAGGGACGAAGCGAAAGUGACGGUACCUGCAGAAGAAGCACCGGCCAACUACGU
rnacentral:rRNA from 1 species